UCCAGACUCCUACGGGAGGCAGCAGUGGGGAAUAUUGGGCAAUGGACGCAAGUCUGACCCAGCAACGCCGCGUGAAGGAAGAAGGCUUUCGGGUUGUAAACUUCUUUUAAGGGGGAAGAGCAGAAGACGGUACCCCUUGAAUAAGCCACGGCUAACUACGUGCCAGCAGCCGCGGUAAUACGUAGGGAGCAAGCGUUGUCCGGAAUUACUGGGCGUAAAGGGCGCGUAGGUGGGCGCUUAAGUCAGGUGUGAAAACUCCGGGCUCAACCUGGAGACUGCACUUGAAACUGGGUGUCUUGAGGGCAGGAGAGGAAAGUGGAAUUCCUAGUGUAGCGGUGAAAUGCGUAGAUAUUAGGAGGAACACCAGUGGCGAAGGCGGCUUACUGGACGGCAACUGACGCUGAGGCUCGAAAGCGUGGGGAGCAAACAGGAUUAGAUACCCCAGUACA
rnacentral:rRNA from 1 species